UGCGCCAAAUUAAACAGUUGAGAAAGGGACUGAAAGAUGUGAUGGUAUGGCCCCUGCUGACAUCUAGGCCAGAUGUUGUACCACUUCUUUUCCCCAAAAUGGCUGACAUGCAGUUCACACCCCAGAUGCUCCUAGAAAAAAUCACAUGGCCAGUUGAGGACAGUGAUGAUGAAGACUUUGACUUAGACACCACCUGCCGCAUCACUGGCUUUCUAAGGAUGUUCAUUGAAACGGCUUCAUCAGGUACCCUGGCCCAGCUGCUGACAUUCU